rnacentral:rRNA from 1 species
AACGAACGCUGGCGGCAGGCUUAACACAUGCAAGUCGAGCGCCCCGCAAGGGGAGCGGCAGACGGGUGAGUAACGCGUGGGAACGUACCCUUUGCUACGGAAUAGCUCCGGGAAACUGGAAUUAAUACCGUAUGUGCCCUACGGGGGAAAGAUUUAUCGGCAAAGGAUCGGCCCGCGUUGGAUUAGCUAGUUGGUGGGGUAAUGGCCUACCAAGGCGACGAUCCAUAGCUGGUCUGAGAGGAUGAUCAGCCACAUUGGGACUGAGACACGGCCCAAACUCCUACGGGAGACAGCGGUGGGGGAUAUUGGACAAUGGGCGCAAGCCUGAUCCAGCCAUGCCGCGUGAGUGAUGAAGGCCUUAGGGUUGUAAAGCUCUUUCACCGGAGAAGAUAAUGACGGUAUCCGGAGAAGAAGCCCCGGCUAACUUCGUGCCAGCCGCCGCGGUAACAC